GAUCAGGCUGUUGGUGAGGUAAUGGCCCACCAAACCUGUAACCGGUACGGGCUCUGAGAGGAGGAGCCCGGAGAUGGGCACUGAGACAAGGGCCCAGGCCCUAUGGGGCGCAGCAGGCGCGAAACCUCUGCAAUAGGCGAAAGCUUGACAGGGUUACUCUAAGUGAUCUCCGUUAAGGAGAUCUUUUGGCACCUCUAAAAAUGGUGCAGAAUAAGGGGUGGGCAAGUCUGGUGUCAGCCGCCGCGGUAAUACCAGCACCCCGAGUGGUCGGGACGUUUAUUGGGCCUAAAGCAUCCGUAGCCGGUUUUACAAGUCUUCCGUUAAAUCCACCUGCUCAACAGAUGGGCUGCGGAAGAUACUAUAGAGCUAGGAGGCGGGAGAGGCAAGCGGUACUCGAUGGGUAGGGGUAAAAUCCGUUGAUCCAUUGAAGACCACCAGUGGCGAAGGCGGCUUGCCAGAACGCGCUCGACGGUGAGGGAUGAAAGCUGGGGGAGCAAACCGGAUUAGAUACCCGGGUAGUCCCAGCUGUAAACGAUGCAGACUCGGUGAU
rnacentral:rRNA from 1 species